UCUAAAGAGUCCGAAGCUCUCCAAGUAGAGGCUAGAAAUGAAGAUUCUCAGGUCUUAUCCAGACACCAGAACCGAACUCCAAACUCCAGGGGUUUGGGCUUCACCUGUGGCCUAACAAGUCUUUCGGGGAAUCCUGAUGGAUUUCAAGUUUGAUGAGCAUGUACUGAGGCUGUAGUUACUAGUGAUGGGUGCUUAAGGCAGCUGUUAGAGAUACUAGCCAGAGGCAUUUACAGGAAUCCAGGUGAGACAGGAGAAUGGCGGGACCAGCUGUCUGUUACGGCUGCUCCAAGGGGGAAAAAGUAAAAGUAAAGGAUAAUGUUCUAGAACAGGGGUUGGCAAACCUUUUCUGUAGCGGACCAGAGAGUAAAUAGCUGAAGCUCUGAGGGCCAUAGGGUCUCUGUCACAACUAUUCAACUCUGCCAUUUGCAAAAGUAGCCCUAAUCAAUAUGUAAACAUGGUUGUGGAACAACAAAACUUUAUAAGCACGUAACAGGCCAGAUUGGACAGUUGGGCAGUAGUUUACAGACCUGUUUUAGCAGAAUGAUUUACUCAAGGCUGAUGUUAUUUAACAGCAGAAUCUUUUUCUCUUAUUUAGAAUUUAACAAAGUGAGCUCUGGUUGCAGCCCAGAGUGGAGAACCCAGAAACUACCUGUUCAUUUCCUCCUUUCCUUACCGUGGACCCUAAGACUCUUCCUCAGAACACACUCCACUGCCAGUUAAGGAGAAGGCAGUGGUGUCUGGGGCUGGGCCACUCAGGCCUUGCCGUUGAAUGAGUUUCAGCAAGCCUUCUGAGGCUCAGGCUGGUACAGGUACCGGGGAUACGAGCCAGGCCCCAUUGGUUAUGCAGCGUGACCAGCCGGGUGCCCAGCAGAGUGAUUCUGAAGCUACGUUUCUUAGCCAGACCCUGUCCAACCGUGGGGUUAAGAUCUCUACAUUUUACUACUCCAACUUCCAGGACUACGAGGCCUACCAAGGAGACAGAUACCACACCGUCCUGAACUCCUUGGGCUUCCUUAACCUUGGCAUCAGUGAGAACAGGCUGUGUGUUGAUUUGAUGACUGAAAGGUUGUGUCAGAAUGACAUGAACUACAUCGAGGAGCCCCUGCUGCAGUACCCCGACUGGAGAGGACAUCCA
rnacentral:lncRNA from 1 species